rnacentral:rRNA from 1 species
UGUGCCAGCAGCCGCGGUAAUACGUAGGUGGCAAGCGUUGUCCGGAAUUAUUGGGCGUAAAGCGCGCGCAGGCGGUCCUUUAAGUCUGAUGUGAAAGCCCACGGCUCAACCGUGGAGGGUCAUUGGAAACUGGGGGGCUUGAGUGCAGAAGAGGAGAGUGGAAUUCCACGUGUAGCGGUGAAAUGCGUAGAGAUGUGGAGGAACACCAGUGGCGAAGGCGACUCUCUGGUCUGUAACUGACGCUGAGGCGCGAAAGCGUGGGGAGCAAACAGGAUUAGAUACCCUGGUAGUCCACGCCGUAAACGAUGAGUGCUAAGUGUUAGAGGGUUUCCGCCCUUUAGUGCUGCAGCUAACGCAUUAAGCACUCCGCCUGGGGAGUACGGCCGCAAGGCUGAAACUCAAAGAAAUUGACGGG